rnacentral:rRNA from 1 species
UCGAGGGCUUUACUGUCUCUUACUUCCAAUCCGUGAAAUUGACCUUCCCGUGAAGAGGCGGAAUAUGACAAUAAGACGAGAAGACCCUAUGAGCUUUAAUUAACCGACCCAAAGAGAUCUGAUAAUCAACCGACAGGAUAACAUACCUCUACCAUGGGCCGACAAUUUAGGUUGGUACCUCGAGAAUAAAACAACCUCCGAGUAUUUAAAUUCUGAUUAACUAGUGAAAGUACUACAUCACUUAUUGAUCCAAAAACUUGAUCAACGGAACAAGUUACCCUAGGGAUAACAGCGCAAUCGAGGGCUUUACUGUCUCUUACUUCYAAUCCGUGAWAUUGACCUUCCCGUGAAGAGGCGGGAAUAUGACAAUAAGACGAGAAGACCCUAUGGAGCUUUAAUUAACCGACCCAAAGAGAUCUUGAUAAUCAACCGACAGGGAUAACAUACCUCUACCAUGGGCCGACAAUUUAGGUUGGGGUGACCUCGGAGAAUAAAACAACCUCCGAGUGAUUUAAAUCUAGACUAACUAGUCGAAAGUACUACAUCACUUAUUGAUCCAAAAACUUGAUCAACGGAACAAGUUACCCUAGGGAUAACAGCKCAAUCCUAUUUUAGAGUCCAUAUCGACAAUAGGAUUGCGCUGUUUUAUCUCGGGUGUAACUGGUUGGGUGAUCAAGUUUUUGGAUCAAUAAGGGAUGUAGUACUUUCGACUAGUUAGUCUAGAUUUAAAUCACUCGGAGGUUGUUUUAUUCUCCGAGGUCACCCCAACCUAAAUUGUCGGCCCAUGGUAGAGGUAUGUUAUCCUGUCGGUUGAUUAUCAAGAUCUCUUUGGGUCGGUUAAUUAAAGCUCCAUAGGGUCUUCUCGUCUUAUUGUCAUAUUCCCGCCUCUUCACGGGAAGGUCAAUUUCACGGAUUGGAAGUAAGAGACAGUAAAGCCCUCGA